rnacentral:lncRNA from 1 species
GGGGUCCUAUGGGGCUGACUCAGAGUGAUCAUGUGUGCAUAUUAGUACUUAGGUAGAGGUCUCUCCUCUGAAAGGCUGGUCUCUUAAAGAAAUCAUGCCACUCAUGAUUUACCCAACAUAAAUAAAUAACAACAAUCAAAUAUAUAAGCUAUUAAAAAUACAGGUAACACUUAUCUUUCAUGAAUUGGAGUGGAUGUUUAAACUGUUACAACUACCCCUUGCUUCCUCCACUGUGUGCUUCUUAUUUUUCAGGCUAGGACGACGUGUUGUCCUGUGGUCCACAAGCGCUGGCAUAUUUUUGUUUGGAAUAGCAUCGGCAUUUGCAAGUGAUUAUUACAGCUUUAUGGUUGCACGCUUUUUUCUUGCCAUGAGUUUUCAGAUGCGGCGUGUGGUGGCAACUAUGGCUGCAAAAUUUGCCAUAGGGGCAGUGUUUGGCAUUAUUUAUCUUUAUACAGCUGAGCUGUACCCAACCAUUGUAAGGUCUCUGGCCGUGGGGAGUGGCAGCAUGGUGUGCCGCCUGGCAAGCAUCUUGGCCCCGUUCUUCGUCUACCUCAGCAGCCAGUGGAUCUUCCUACCGCAGGUGUGCCUCAGUUUACAGGCCCUAACGGGGACAGCAGAGAGACGCAGAGGCCAACUGCCUUUUCCAUGUUUACUUAUUGGAAGCCAGUUUAUAAUUUCAUAAUGGGGGUGGGUGUAGCAACACGAUGAACAGCUCGCCUGCCGGUAAGUAGGCGGGUGGUUGCUGCUUUAUUGUCGGUUGAUUGCCUUCCACCCCAGCCCAGCUGUCAGUCCAACCCGCCUGUCAGGAAAGAGCCUGUCCUCACCCUUGUCAAGAAUCCAUGACCCCAGGAAGGCAGAGCUCUGGUCUCUGUCCCUCUUGGAGCCUCUGCGCCCACUCUCUGUGUUCCCACUGUGUGCCUGCCAGGCCAGGAGGAUUCUGGAAGCUCCUGUUCCCCUGAAGGGUCUGUGGUGCCUGAUCUGUGGUUCUCAGCACACCUGAGCCUGAGGGGCCACCCGUGGGCGGGGCUUCCCUUCUGGGGCCUCUGGCUCAGCAGUGUGGGCCGCUGGCCUGGUGCUGAAGAGUGAGAGCAGUUGUGCUCAGGUGACAGAGUGCCGCCUGCAGGGGCUGAGAGGCUGGGAAGGCAGGCAGAGCACUGAUACACCUGGCUUUAACGUGACCCUCUGCUCAGGAGGAGGAUGGGCCAGGCGGGCCCUGGGGAGGGGAGGCAUGGUGGUGCAUAGCACUGCCAUCCCAGCAGGGACCUGGGGGCCCACCCUCCUCCCCCAAGCUUCCCCUGAGUUUCUUUGCUAUUGCUGCCUCUGGGUCUCUUUCAGUGCUUCCUCUUCCUUUUCUGGUUGCCCUUUAAAUAGACUCAUUCUCCAAGAUUCCCUCCUGGCUGUCCUCCCCUCUCUCUGCUUGUGUGACCUGUCCUGAGUUCCCACCUCUUCUCCCAGCUGCAGCCCCUGCUUCUGCUAGCCUUGUGGAUAUUCUCCCUAGAUGUGUUACAACAAACUUGACAUUUCCCCAGGAGGACUGGUCGGUGACUUCACUGUCUCCCACUGUUGGUUACCGAUAAGUCAAUGGCCUAAAGCGUGACACUGCAGCACCAACUUUUUAUUCACACUGUUCUUUCCUGCUCUUCUCCCAAUCUGCUAGUCAUCAAAUCCUCACAUUUUCCCUCAAAACUACCCCUGCUUGCCUGCUUCCAGUGCCCAGUUCAAUUCCUCGUCACUUCCCAGGUCUUCUCUUUGUACCCCAUCCCCCCACCCCAUCAGAAGAGCAUAGAAGGCACCACAGCCAUGGCCCAGGACCCCUGUCACCUUAAGAAUAAAAUCCAAGCUCAGCUGAUACCCAGUGCCUUUCCAGACCCACUGUCUGUGGAUCUUCCCUGUUGUUCUGUUUCCCCACACAGCUUCCCCUCCUCUCCACACUCACCCGCCAUCCAAGUCCUGCCCGCCUCCUCCCUGUCCUCACCCCUACUCCCUCCCCUUCCAUGCCUCUGCCUAACAGCCUCUCCAAAGAGAAUGAUCCUCCCUGUCACACCCCAACCCCACUGAUCCAUCACGUGUCCUUUAAGUGUCCUUCCAAAUAUCCCCCUUCCCAGGCCACCCAGAUCCAAUGACCCCACUGGUUCACAGCACAAUCUGGCUUUAUCGUGUGCAUGUGUGGCUUUGUCUCCCAGGCUAGACUGUUGAGCUCUUGCAGAGCAGGGCAUUUUGCAUCCCCACAACUGGGUCCAGCAAAGCAUUUUCCUCACUUUGUGUGCCACCCAUGCUGUAAUUUGCUUCGUGUUUUAAAUCAAAUAGAUUGGAUUUUUGAAGUUAGCUUUGUCUUAAACAAUAGUAUCAGUGAAAUCAUGGGUGUUGGGGUAGUUACAUGUUUUUCUAAAAUACACUAACAUAAUCUGACAAGUAAUAAAACAAAGUGUUUGGUACCACCUGGAGCCACUUUGUGCACACAAGUGGUGUGGACGCUGCUCUUUGGGAAUCCUUGGCUUAGCACGAGUGUCUCCCAUGUCCCAGUAGCAGGGCUCAGCAAAGUCUGCUUCACUGGGGUGUUAGGGUCCCAUCCUCUUUCACAGGCUGACUCUGAGGUUGAAAAGUAACAUAGGCUGUCUGGCCUGCAUAGGGAGGUGAUUUGGGAGAUUCUCCCACCCUAUUUAGGGCAUUGGACUUUUCUAGAAGCAUCUUUUUUUGUGCUAGAAUUUUGUGUUCCUUGUUAAAAAAAAGAUAAAAAUGGAAAGCUGUUUUUUAGAACAAUAAGUUAAAACACACAAAAAGAAAAUAUAUAUGUAAAAGCAAACUUCUUUAAAUUGACUAAAACCAAAUGAAAAAAUUUUUUUAAAUAAGUAUCUCUGUAAGGGUCAAUUAAAGACUAUGAAGUUAAAAGGGGUCUUUAUUUUGAUUAACAGAUCCUUAACAGGUCCUGUUAAGUGCUUUACAAAAAUUAGCCUUCAUUUAAUGCAGAUACCAUUGUUACCCCCAUCUUACAGAGGAGGAGACUGCUGUAUGGAAGGUAAUUAUUAGCCCAUGCACACACCUUAAAGGUGACGGAACUGGGGUUCGAACCCAAAUAACAUGCUCCACUACCUUUUACUUAAGGUUAGCAAGCAAACAAACGGUAUAGAGGGAUAUAGAACCAGCUCCUCCUCCACCCUGAUGCUGAAGGUCCCAGGCCCCUUCCUCAAGACAACCCCUGGCAGCAGGGUCUAGUGUAUCUUUUCAGAAAUAUUCUGUGAAGGUGCUUCCUUUGGAUGCAACAGAAGUUGCCUAUUGUUUCUAAUGACUAAAAAAAGAAAUAAAUGAUUAAAUUUCCCAUUAUUCUUGAUUAUGAAUGUCAAACUGCCUGGGAAGCCAGUGUUUUCAUUUUGAAGAAUGGAAACAUUGGUCGAGAAGAUAAGUUUAUAUUUUCUCUUUUGAAAAGAGGCACAUGAAAACCACUCGUUAUGCUGUUAUUAUCAACAGUUAUUUUCUAGUAAUCUAAAAAAGGUGGACAUAAUUCUUUUGUGUGUGUGUUCAUAAACUCAUUUGGCAAAGGUGUAUUGACUGUUGAUGUUGCACUGAGCAGCCUGCGAGGUGCUGGGGAGCAAAGAUGAAGGAAACAGCCUCUGUCUGUCCGGUCUGGCGGGGAAGGCGGGAGAGCAAACCGUCACCAGACCUGGAGCAAAAGGCUGGAGAGAGGAAGUGCUAGGGCUGUGGGGCUCUAGGAGAGGGCUGCCAACCCAGCCCGGUCCCAGGGAGGCAUCUGUGUGUGGAGGGACCAGUAAGGGUCAGCUGGGUGAGGGAGGAGAGAAGGGAAUGUCAGGCAGAGGGAACAGAAAAGCAAAGGCUCAGAGGGGAAAAGGAAGGAGCGUGGCCACUUUGGGUUUGGACACAGGCAUUAUUGCUCACACCGGAGUGGCUUGUGGGGAGUCAGGAGAUACAUCUGGAAAGAGAGGCAAAGAUCUUAAAGGAAGCCAGGACAGAAGAACAUUCAAGCUAAAGGCAGGUUGGAGAGGACAGAAGGGAAAAGUCAUAGUGACAGGACCUGGUGACCAGAUGGCUAUAGUGGAGAGUGGGGAGUCGCUCUGGAAGCUGGAGGGAUCCCAGGAAGGCAAACAAGCCUGUGGUGGGGCAGGGCAGCACACUAAAUAUCAUGUGAGGUGCUUGCAAGAUGGCCGGUGUGGGGGGGGGUGCGUCUGGG